rnacentral:lncRNA from 1 species
GUAUACCGUAGAUACUCGCCUAUUAGUCGAUCCGACUAUAAGUCGGAUGCCCUUUUCAGCUUCAAAUUCUGAGGAUUUAGUCUUGACCCUCGUAUAAGUCGGACAAAAUUUGGACAUUUUUUUUGCAGCUGACAGUUACUGAACGCCGGUAAAACCAAUGCAAAUCCAGGAAUUAUAUUCAUUUUCUGCAUGAAUGUUUGUUUGGUUUGAAUUUAGUUGAUGUUGAUUAUGAUAAUUUAUAUAGCUGUUAAUAAUAAAGAUGUAUUUAUUCCUGUUGUUUUGUUCACUGUUUGAUUACAGAUUAGCCAUGUGUUGUUUACGUAAUGCAUCAAUGAUUUUGUAGGGUAUGACUAACAACCUAUUGUUUGAGAAAAGCGAACAUAAACCAAUAUGAACCUGAAAAAAUUUAAAGUCAAUCAAUAUUUUUCACAGCACACAUAACUCAGUGUUAAAGGAGCAUGUACACUUCAUAAUUCUUAUUAUAUUGUGAUGAUUAAAGGAUUAAAAAAAAUUAAGUGAAGCUAAUCAACUUUAUAUUAAAAUAACUUCCAACUCAUUAGUGUCAUCUGUUCACCUAUCACUGAUAUUUUUCACACCUUUAGUGAAUACAACUCUUUGUCUCUUAAUUAGGGGUUAUCAAUGGAUUAUAUUGGCUUGCCAAUCAAUUUUGUAAUCUUUGUGUUUACCUGAGACAUUUUAAUGAAUAAUAUUUUGAUCUUGGGAAUGAAUCUUAAAAUUAUUUUUGAUUAUUGUAUGAUUUAUAAGUAUUGAAUUGAUAUCAUGAUAUCACAAUAAUGACACAAUAACUCCGCUGAAUACAUCCUUUUACAUAGUUGGUACAUUGUUAUCUCGUUUUCAUUUUUGGUUCUUGGCUCUUUCUUUUGGGUUUAUGCACAAACCAUUUGACCAUGAAAAUCAAUACACAAACCGGAAACAGUCGGAAAUUCAACACAAAUUGACAGAAAAAAGUUAACAAAGAACAAAUAAAACACAAAGACAGUAUUGUAGUCAUUUAUUUUCAACAUAAACUUUUAAUUUAGGGAUUUAUGUAGGUUUGGCAAUCACCGACGUAGUUUUGACCAGGAAAUUCACUCCUGACCACUUUUCUCGAGCUUGGAUUUUUCCUCUGGUCGCUGGAUCUCGCUUAUAAGUCGGUACCCCUCUCUGGAUUCUGAAUUUUACUCCCAAACUUCCGACUUAUAAGCGAGUAUCUACGGUA